AGAGCGAACGCUGGCGGCAGGCUUAACACAUGCAAGUCGAGCGGGCGUAGCAAUACGUCAGCGGCAGACGGGUGAGUAACGCGUGGGAACGUACCUUUUGGUUCGGAACAACACAGGGAAACUUGUGCUAAUACCGGAUAAGCCCUUACGGGGAAAGAUUUAUCGCCGAAAGAUCGGCCCGCGUCUGAUUAGCUAGUUGGUGAGGUAACGGCUCACCAAGGCGACGAUCAGUAGCUGGUCUGAGAGGAUGAUCAGCCACAUUGGGACUGAGACACGGCCCAAACUCCUACGGGAGGCAGCAGUGGGGAAUAUUGGACAAUGGGCGCAAGCCUGAUCCAGCCAUGCCGCGUGAGUGAUGAAGGCCCUAGGUUGUAAAGCUCUUUUGUGCGGGAAGAUAAUGACGGUACCGCAAGAAUAAGCCCCGGCUAACUUCGCGCCAGCAGCCGC
rnacentral:rRNA from 1 species